UGCCCAGCAACUCCUAUCCCUACCUCCUCAUGGUACCGGCUGGGAACUACAAGCAACCUUGGGAAAGAUCGGGUAACCACCGCCGGUGGGAACUUCAGCCGUAGGCUGACAGGGAAGA
rnacentral:ribozyme from 1 species